GGCUAUAUAGCUCAGUGGUAGAGUGUAUAUUUACCAUGCAUGAGGUCAUGGGUUCAAUCCCUAGCAUCUCCA
rnacentral:tRNA from 1 species